rnacentral:rRNA from 1 species
AGGACGAACGCUGGCGGCGUGCCUAACACAUGCAAGUCGAGCGGAGUCGAUCGACGGAAGCCUUCGGGCGGAAGAUGGUUGACUUAGCGGCGGAUGGGUGAGUAACGCGUGGGCAACCUGCCUCGAAGACCGGGAUAACAGCCCGAAAGGGCUGCUAAUACCGGAUGUGGUCAAGGAUCCGCAUGGAUUUUGAUUAAAGGGGAAACCCGUUUCGAGAUGGGCCCGCGUCCUAUCAGCUAGUUGGUGAGGUAAAAGCUCACCAAGGCGACGACGGGUAGCCGGCCUGAGAGGGUGACCGGCCACACUGGAACUGAGACACGGUCCAGACUCCUACGGGGGGCAGCAGUGGGGAAUCUUCCACAAUGGGCGAAAGCCUGAUGGAGCGACGCCGCGUGAGCGAAGAAGGCCUUCGGGUUGUAAAGCUCUGUCUGGAGGGACGAAGGAAGUGACGGUACCUCCGGAGGAAGCCACGGCUAACUACGUG